AUUUCCUUGGAACAGGAGGUCAUGGAGGGUGAGAACCCCGUCUGUGGCUUGGAACUAGUGGUCCCAGUGACGUGCCCUCGAAGAGUCGGGUUGUUUGGGAAUGCAGCUCAAAAUGGGUGGUAAAUUUCAUCUAAAGCUAAAUAUUGGCGAGAGACCGAUAGCAAACAAGUAGAGUGAUCGAAAGAUGAAAAGUACUUUGAAAAGAGAGUGAAACAGUAUGUGAAAUUGUUGAAAGGGAAGCGUUUGGCAUCAGCCCUUGGCGGCCGUCGAACAUCGGGGCUCUGGCCCCGUGCACUCGACGGCCGUUGGGCCAGCGUCGGCUCUGCCCGCCGGAGAAAGGCCCUGGGGAAGUGGCUCCUCCGGGAGCGUUAUAACCCUGGGCGUCAUGCGGCUGGGCGGGGCCGAGGUCCGCGGAUCAAUCCUAGGACGCUGGCGUAAUGGUUCCAAGCGACCCGUCUUGAAACACGGACCAAGGAGUCUAACAUCUAUGCGAGUGUUUGG
rnacentral:rRNA from 1 species